rnacentral:rRNA from 1 species
AUUGAACGCUGGCGGCAGGCCUAACACAUGCAAGUCGAGCGAGCGGAGGACGGGUGAGUAAUGUAUGGGGACUGCCCGAUAGAGGGGGAUAAAUACUGGAAACGGUGGCUAAUACCGCAUACUGUCGGAUAACCCAUCUGGGAUUAGCUAGUAGGUAAGGUAAGGGCUUACCUAGGCGACGAUCCCUAGCUGGUCUGAGCAGGUGAUGAGCCACACUGGGACUGAGACACGGCCCAGACUCCUACGGAGGCAGAAGUGGGGAAUCUUGCACAAUGGGCGCAAGCCUGAUGCAGCCAUGCCGCGUGUAUGAAGAAGGCCUUAGGGUCGUACAGUUCUUUCAUUCGUGAGGCGUUACCGACAGAAUAAGCACCGGCUAAUUCCGUGCCAGCAGCCGCGGUAAUUC